CUUUUCACUUAUUUUCUGCUAUAGUCUUUUCAAUGAUGGGAGCAGUUAUAUGGAUGGUAUAAAGUAACAUUGGGCCAUUGUAAAUGGAGAUGAAAUAACCAUUUCAUCUCUUUUGCAUGCACAGUCCAGACAUGG